UUGGAGGGAUUAGACUGAGCAGUAGAAGUGGUUUACCACCAUGGUCCAGCACAGGCAAGCAAGCCAAUGAAUUAUCUAGGGCCCAGAGCUGACAUGGGGGAUGCAUCCCAUUACAGUAGCCAGCCAGCCAGGUUCGUCAUUCCUGCAGCUGGCAAAAUAUGGAACUUGAUCAGGAUACCAGAAAAAAGCAGAGAAAGGAAGAGGAAGAAAAGAAAAAAACAAGACAGCGAUUCAACUGAAUGCAACGAGACUGAUUGAAAGGAGCUUCUCAGUACAGAUGGACAAUAAGGAGCAUUUCACUGCUCACUCAAGACAAAACUAAAGCCUGAAGAAAGACAGCAUCAUAAAGGAGGAAACUGUGUUCGGUGUCGUCUGCGGUUCCAGACUUCAUUCAGUCACUGUCUGCGAAAGAUUCUCAACAAAGAUUUUAAAAUGAACAUUUUAUUUUAAGUGAAGUUCACUUGUUUCAUUACUUUAGAGCUGCUGAAGUAAGGAGGCUUGGUAAAAAAAUGGUUACAAUUUCUAAACAGGUCAUGGGAUAUUUUUAUUCCAUCCCUUGAAAUAAACUUGAAGGCCUUUCUACACUUCUAUUGCUAAAGAUCAUCAUUGUCACUGUGUAAAUAUUUAUAGACCUAAAUAUAUCUAGAAAAUACACAGUUAUGAAUGUUUUAUACGAUUCUAGAGAUGUAUGAAUAUUUGUGAAUAUUGGAUUACACUCGGACGCCUUGGUUUGUGUUCAUGUUUUAUGAAGUGUGUGCUUCUGUCCCGGGACCCCUCAUUGCCCGUCCUUUGUCGGGACGUGGAGUUGAGGCCAUACAGCUGGUCACUGUCAAACCCAAGCUUUGGGUUUCCCAAGCUUCAACUUCAACAGGCUUCAGCCCCCACCACUCUCUCUCUCUCUCUCUCUCUCUGUCCAAGCCCUCUCCUUACCUUUUCUUCAAACAGUCCCUCCCUUCGUCCACUUAGCUCUUCUUCUUUAAACAAUCUCUCCCUCCCCUCCCUUUCUAAUGCUCUCUCACUCUUUCGCGCCCUCAUGCUCUUGCUUGCUCUCUCUCUCUCUACCUCCCCUUUUUCUCUCUAUUUCUCUCACUCUUUCGUACUCUCUUUCUUGCUAUCGCUCUCUUUCUCUCACUCUCUCUCUCCCGCUCUCUCUUCAACAGGCUGCUCGCUUCCACACACUCUGUGAAUGAAGUUAGUGCAGUGGAGGACAGCCCCUCCCCACACCUCCUCCACCCCACACCACCACCUCCUCCUCGUUCUUCCCACUACUCCCUAGCAGACACACUCGCUGGAUUGUUUGUUAAUAGUCCAAUUAGAUAAUUGCCAUCUUUCUCCCCUUGUGCUCUCUCUUUCCCAUACAGCAGUGAAAGGCUUUA